rnacentral:lncRNA from 1 species
GGCAGCACUACAUCAGAAGGUGUCUUGGAUCAUCCCUCAGGUGUGAACACUGCACCAGGAAGUGUCUUCAAUCGUGCCUGAGGUGUCAACACUGCACCAGGAGGUGUUUUUUAUCAUCCCUAAGGUGCAAGCACUGCACCAGGAGGUCUCUUGGAUUAUGCCUGAGGUUUGAACACUGCACCAGGAAGUGUCUUAUCAUCCCUAAAGUGUGAGCACUGCACCAGGACAUGUCUUGGGUCAUCCCUGAGGUGUGACCACUGCACCAGGAGGUAUCUCAAGUCAUGCCAGAGAUGUGAGCACUGCAUUAGAAGAUGUUUUGGAUCAUCCCUAAGGUGUGAGCACUGGACCAGGAGGUCUCUUGGAUCAUCCCUGAGUUGAGAGCACUGUUCCAAGAGGUGUCUUGGAUCAUGCCUGAGUGUGAGCACUGCACCACGUGGUUUUUUUGGAUCAUCCCUAGGUGUGAGCACUGCACCAGGAGGUAUCUUGGAUCAUGUCUGAGUUGUGAUCACUGCACCAGGAGGUGUCUUAAAUCAUAUCUGAGUUGUGAGCACUGCACCAAGAGGUGUUUUGGAGCAUCCCUGAGGUGUGAGCACUGCAUGAGGUGGUGUCUUGGAUCAUCCCUGUAGUGUGAAAACUGCACAAGGAGGUAUUUUCCAUCAUCCCUAAGGUGGGAGCACUACACCAAGAAGUGUGUUGGAUAAUGCUUGAGAUGUGAGCACUGCACCAGGAGGUGUCUUAGAUCAUGCCUGAGUGUGAGCACCUCACCAGGAUGUACCUUGCAUGAUGCCUGAGUUGUGUGGGCACUGCAUCAGGAUGUGUUUUGGAUCACCCUUGAGGUGUGAGCACUGUACCAGGAAUUGUCUUGGAUCAUCCCUGAGUGUGAGCACUACACCAGGAGGUGUUUGGGGUCAUCCAUAAGGUCUCAGCACCGCACCAGGUUUCUUGUAUUAUGCCUGAGUGUGAGCACUGCACCAGGAGAUAUUUUGAAUCAUGUCUGAGUUGUGAGCACUGCAUCAGGAGGUAUUUUGGAUCAUCCCUGAGGUGUGAGCAUUGCACCAGGAGGUGUCUUGGAUCAUCCCUGAGGUGUGAACAUUGCACCCAGAAGUGUCUUAUGUCAUGCCUGCAGUGUGAGCACUGCACCAGGAUAUCUAGGAUCAUCCCUGAAUUGUGAGCACUAAACCAGGAGGUGUCUUGAUUCAUCCCUGAGGUGUGAGCACCUCACCAGGAGGUAUCUUGGAUCAUCCCUGAGAUGUGAACACCUCACCAGGAAGUGUCUUGGAUCAUGUCUGAGUUGUGAGCACUGCACCAGGACGUGUCUUAAAUCAUCUCUGAGGUUUGAGCACUACACCAGGAGGUGUCUUAAAUCAUGCUGAAAAGUGACCACUGCACCAGGAGGCAUCUUGGAUCAUGUCUCAGUUGCAACAGGAGGUGUCUUGGAUCAUCCCUGUGGUAUAAGCACUGCACCAGAAGGUGUCUUGGAUCAACCCUGGGAUGGAGGCAGUGCACCAGAAGGUGUCUUGGAUCAUCCCUGAUGUGGGAGCACUGCAUCAGGAGAUCUCUUGGAUCAUCGCUGAGGUGUGAGCACUGCACCAGGAGGUAUCUGGAAUGAUUUUUGAGGAGAGUGUAGCGCACCAGGAGGUAUCUUGGAUCUACCCUGAGGUGUGAGCACUGCAACAGGAAGUGUCUUGGAUCAUCCCUGAGGUGUGAGCACUGCAACAGGAUGUGUCCUCAAUCAUCCAUGAAGGGGGAUCACUGCACCAGGAGGUGUCUUGUAUCAUUGCUGAGGUGGAAGCACUGCACAAGGAAGUGUCUUAGAUCAACCUGACUUGUGAGCACUGCACCAGAAGGUGUCUUGGAUCAUUGCUAAGAUGCAAGCAAUGCACCAGCAGAUGUCUCAGAUCGUCCUUUAGGUGGGAGCGCUACACGAGGGGUGUCUUGGAUCAUCCCUGAGGAGGGAGCACUACACCAGGAGGUGUCUUGGAUCAUUUCUGAGGUGCAGGCACUGCAUCAUGAGGUGUCUUGGAUCGUCGCUGAAGUGUAAGCACUGCACCAGGAGGUGUUGUGAAUCAUCGCUGAGGUGUGAGCACUGCACCAGUAGGUGUCUUGGAUCAUCCUUGGGGUGUGAACAUUGCAUCAGGAGAUGUCUCAGAUCAUCCCUGAGGUGCAGGCACUGUACCAGGAGGUAUCUUGAAUCAUUUCUGAGGUGCAGGUGCUGCACCAGGUGUCUUGAAUCAGCCCUGAGGUGUGAGCACUACACCAGGAGGUGUCUUGAUUCAUCCCUGAGGUGUGAGCACUGCACCAGGUGUCUUGAUUCAUCUCUGAGGUGUGAGCACUGCACCAGGAGCUGUCUUGAAUAACUUCUGAGGUGUGACCAUUGUACCAGGAGGUGUCCUGUAUCAUCCCUGUGGAGGGAGCACUGCACCAGAAGGUGUAUUGGAUCAUCCCUGAAGUGUGAACACUACAUCAAAAGGCAUCACGAAUCAUCCCUAAGGCUUGAGCACUGCACCAGGAGGUGUCUUUGAUCAUGCCUGAGAUGUAUGCACUGCACUAGGAGGUGUUUUGGAUCAUCCCUAGGUGGGAGCACUACCCCAAGAGGAGUCUUGGAUCAUCUUUGAGGUGGGAGUACCACACCACGAGGUGUCUUGGAUCAUCCCUGAGGUGGAAGCACUGCACCAGGAGUUGUCUUGGAUCAUUCCUGAGGUGUGAGUACUGCACCAGGAGGUAUCUUGUAUCAUCCCCGAGGUCAGAGCACUACACCAGGAGAUGUUUGGAUCAAACCUGACAUGUAGGCACCGCACCAGAAGGUCUCUUGGAUGAUGCCUGAAUUGUCAGCACUGCACCAGGAAGUGUAUUUUAUCAUCCUUGAGGUCAGAACACUGCACCAGCAAGUGUCUUGGAUUCUGCCUAAGGUGUGAGCACUGCACAAGCAGUUGUCUUGGCUCAUCCCUAAGAAGGGAGUACUGUGCCAGGGGGUGUCUUGGAUUAUGCCUGAGUUGUGAGCACUGUAUCAGGAGGUGUCUUGGAUCAGCCCUGAAUUGUGAGCACUGCACAAGGAGGUGUCUUGGAUCAUCCCUGAGGUGGGAGCACUGCACCAGGAGGUGUCUUCAAUCAUCCCUGAGGUGUGAGCACUGCACCAGGAGAUGUCUUGGAUCAUCCCUGAGGUAGGAUCACUACACCAGGAGGUUUCUUGGAUCAUUUCUGAAGUGUGAGCACUGCACCACAAGGUGUCUUGAAUCAUCCCUGAGGUAGGACCACUACACUAGGAGAUGUCUUGGGUCAUCCCUGAGGUGUGAGCACUGUACCAGGAGGUGUCUUGGAUCAUCCCUGAGGUGCAGUGAUAUGGUUUGGUCAUGUCCCCACCCAAAUCUCAUCUUGAAUUGUAGCUCCCAUAAUCCCCACAUGUCAUAGAAGGGACCCUGUGGGAGGUAACUGAAUCAUGGAGGGAGUUACCUCCAUGCUGUUUUCAUGACAGUGAGUGAGUUUUCAGAUCUGAUGGUUUUAUAAGGAGCUUUUCCCCCAUUUACUUGGCACUUCUCCUUCCUGCCAUCCUGUAAAGAAGGAUGUGUUUACUUCCUUCCACUUUGAUUGUAAGUUGUUUGAGGCCUCCUCAGCCCCACAGAACUAUGAGUCAUUUAAACCUUCUUUCUUUAUAAAUUACCCAGUCUUGGGCAGUUCUUUAUAGCAGUGUGAGAUCAGACUAAUAAACACCCCCAUGAUUUAAUUACCUCCCACCAGGUCCCUCCCAUGACACAUGGGGAUUAUGAGAACUACAAUUCAAGAUGAGAUUUGGGUGGGACACAGCCAAAACAUGUUAUUCCAUUCAUGGUCCCUUUAAAAUAUGUCCUCACAUUUCAAAACACAAUUAUGUACUUCCAACAGUCCCCCAAAGUCUUAAUUCAUUCCAUCAUUAUCCCCAAAGUCCAAAUCUAAAGUCUCAUCUGAGACAAGGCAAAUUCCUUCGCCUAUGAGCCUGUAAAAUCAAAAGUGAGUUAAUUACUUCCAAGAUACAAUGGAGAUACAGGCAUUGGACAAAUACACCCAUUCCAAAUGAGAGAAAUUGGCCAAAACAAAGAGGCUCCAGGCCCCACCCAAGUCCAAAAUCCAACAGGGCAGUAACCAAACCUUAAAGUUCCAGAAUAAUCUCCUUCAACUCCAUGUCUCACAUCAGGUCACGCUGAUGCAAGAGGUGGGCUCCCAUGGCCUUGGACUGCUUCACCCCUGUGGCUUUGCUUUCACAAGAUGGCAUUGAGUGUCUGAGGCAUUUCCAGGUGCACAGUGCAAGCUGUCAGCGGAUCUACCAUUCUGGGGUCUGAAGGACGGUGGCCCUCCUCUCACAGUUCAACCGGGCAGCACCCCCAUGGGGACUCCCUGUGGGGGCUCCAAUCCCACAUCUCCCUUCUUCAAUGCCCUAGCAGAGGUUCUCCAUGAGGGCUUUGCCCCUACAGCAGACUUCUGCCUGUACAUCCAGGUAUUUCCAUACAUCCUCUGAAAUCUAAGCUGAGGUUCCCAAACCUCAAUUCUUGACUCCUGUACACCCACAGGUCCAAGACCACGUGUAAGCCACCAAGGCUUGGGGCUUGCACCCUCUGAAGCAACAGCCUGAGCUCUAUGUUGGCCCCUUGAGCCACAGCUGGAACUCACUAUCACCAAAUCCCUAUACUACACAAAGCAGCAAGGCCCUAGGCCUAGCCCGUGAAACCCUUUUUUCCUCCUAGGCCUCUGGGCCUGUGAUGGGAGGGACUGCUGUGAAGAACUCUGACAUGCCCUGGAGACAGUUUCCCCAUUGUCUUGGUGAUUAACAUUUGGCUUUUCGUUACUGAUGCAAAUUUAUCUAGCUGGCUUGAAUUUCUUCUCCAAAAAUGGGUUUUUCUUUUCUAUCGCAUCAUCAGGCUGCAAAUUUUCCUAAGUUUUAUGUUCUGGUUCCCUUUUAAACAUAAGUUUUAAUUCCAAACCAUAUAUUUGUGAGUACAUAAAACUGAAUGCUUUUAACAGCACCCAAGUCACCUCUUGAAUGCUUUGCUGCUCAGAAAUUUCUUCUGCCAGAUACCCUAAAUCAUCUCUCUCAAGUUCAAAAUUCCACAGAUCUUUAGGGCAAGGGCAAAAUACUGCCAGUCUCUUUGCUAAAAUGUAGCAAGAGUCACCUUUAUUCCAGUUCCCAAAAAGUUCUUCAUCUCCAUCUGAGACCACCUCAGCCAGGACUUCAUUGUCCACAUCACUAUCAGCAUUUUGGUCAAAACCAUUAAACAAGUCUCUAGGAAGUUCCAACUUUCCUGGAAGACAUCUUCCUGUCUUCUUCUGAGCCCUCCAAACUGUUCCAACCUCUGCCUGUUACCCAGUUCCAAAGUCACUUCCACGUUUUUUAGUAUCUUUAUAGCAGCGCCCCACUACCCAGUAUCAAUUUACUGUUUUAUUCCAUUCUCAUGCUGCUAUGAAGAACUGCCUGAGACUGGGUAAUUUAUAAAGGAAAGAGGUUUAAAUUACUCACAGUUCUGCAGGGCUGGGGACGCCUCAGGAAACUUACAAUCAUGGCAGAAAGCAAAGGGGAAGCGGGCACGUCUUCAUGUGUCUGGAGAAGGAGGAAGAGAGCAAAGAGGGAGGUGCCACACACUUUCAAACAACCAGGUCUCCUGAGAACUCAUUCACCAUCACAAGAAUGCAAGGGGGAAAUCUGCCCCCAUGAUCCAAUCACCUCCAACCAGCCCACUUCCCCAACACUGGGAAUUACAAUUCGACAUGAGAUUUGGUUGGGGACACAGAGCCAAACUAUAUCAGUGCUUAACCUCAUUUGAGUUGUCACACGCAACCAGGAGGCUUGAAUAACCCACUGCUUCCAGACUAGAUGGCUUUCUGUGUGACCCCAAGAGAGACUCCCAGCCUCUGCUGAUUCCUAUGUAAAGUAUGGGUUGGAACUGGAUGGUAUCGUAGGUUCCUUUAGCUCCGUAUGAUUCUCAUGUAAAAUUCCACCCAGCAGUCAGGCAAGAGGUGCACUGGGGAGAGGAGGUGGAACCCCCAGGUUGUUGAUAAAAUCCUGAAAUCCCUUGGCUCUGUGCUUCAAACAGCCACCUUCCCAACAUCUAUGACUCUUUGAACUGCUCAUAAAGAGCGCUGAUUAAUGUGACACUUCACAUGCCCACCAUGAAAUUAGGAAGGCCCUUAGAUCUCCUUCAAACCCGCGGUGCCGGUGCCUUCGCCCCAUCAAUCAGAGAUGAAACUGUGAUUGUGCUGCAAGGAGACGAGGCCAUCCUGGAGUUCUGCCAUGAAAGAAUCGCUGGGACUCAAAGGAGGGGAAAACAAGGGAAGGAGAGAGGGGGAAAGGGAAAGAGAAGCUGCUUCCAGAAGGAAUAAAUUUGUGUGUGUACUUUGAUCCUGCUAUGAUUUUUAUUUGUUUUAGCCAC